rnacentral:misc_RNA from 1 species
AGAACUUGCUUUAAAUCUUUUUGACAUUAUAUGGAUAUAUGUAUGUAUUUAAGUGUUGAAGGCAAAUUAGGUGUAACCACUUAAGCUUAAACAGUCAACCUAUCAACAACUGAAAGUUGGCCCUCUAGUGAGCUAAUUUUGAGCCUACAUUAUUCCUAUUCUUUGUAAUUAAGCCACAUUAUAAGCCUUAGCCUGUAAAAUAAGUGUUUCUACCCUACCAUAGGAUUAGUAGAGCAUUUAAAACUUUUUUAAUGGGUUUUGGUUAGAAUGUAUGUAAAAAUGUUAGUGAAUUGGGGAUAUGAGUACGAAAGUAUACAUUUGGAUGUUCUUGUGACUGAAAAAGAAAAGUGAAAAGUAAGGAAUGAAAAGCAAAAAAUUCAAAAAAAUAAAAAAAGAAUAAAGGGUGAAUUUGCAUUCAUUCCUAUACCGACAUUCCUAUAAUGAGAGGGCAUCAAUUAUUAUAAUUAUUGCUGUUGAAAAGGUGUGAACAAGAGAGUUGAAGCUAGAAAAGAGCCUGUUUUGUAAUGUGAUGAAUUCUGGUUGGUACAUGUUUUAUAUUGUGAAUUCAUGAGUUUUGAAUGCUCCACUAAUUUCUUCGAUUUUUAAAAUUGUUUAUCCUUUAUUCCACACUUUACCCUAGCCCCACUACAACCCUGAUAAAGACCUUCUGAUUUAUUUUAUGCAUAUGAUCUAAUUAAUGGAGAUGAGAUGAACAAGCAAGCUUAUGGUAAGUUAUGUUCAUGGAUUGAAUUUUGAGAGAAAACACUUCACCCCAAAAACAUAAGAGAUGGAGUGAUUCUUAUGCCUAUUUAAGGAUCCUCCAUGUUGGUAUGUUUAGCUUUUUAAUGAGAUUGCUAUCUUAAGUAAAGUUCUAAUGUAUGUGAAAAGAUUUUUUUCAUGAUA